rnacentral:rRNA from 1 species
CACGUAGGGGGCGAGCGUUGUCCGGAUUUAUUGGGCGUAAAGAGCUCGUAGGCGGCUCGGUAAGUCAGGUGUGAAAACUCUAGGCUCAACCUAGAGACGCCACCUGAUACUGCUGUGGCUAGAGUCCGGUAGGGGAGCAUGGAAUUCCUGGUGUAGCGGUGAAAUGCGCAGAUAUCAGGAGGAACAUCAGUGGCGAAGGCGGCCAUCUGGGACAACACUGACGCUGAAGCACGAAAGCGUGGGGAGCAAACAGG